UACAGAGGUCCCAAGCGUUGUUCGGAUUCACUGGGCGUAAAGGGUGCGUAGGUGGUGGGGUAAGUCGGAUGUGAAAUCUCCGAGCUCAACUCGGAAAUGGCAUUGGAAACUACCCUGCUAGAGGGUCGGAGGGGGGACUGGAAUACUUGGUGUAGCAGUGAAAUGCGUAGAUAUCAAGUGGAACACCAGUGGCGAAGGCGAGUCCCUGGACGACUCCUGACACUGAGGCACGAAAGCGUGGGGAGCAAACAGG
rnacentral:rRNA from 1 species